UCCUCGUUGACGCAAUUGGUUAGCGUGUCAGACUUUUACAAAUGAUCGAGAUCUGAAAGUUACGAGUUCGAGUCUCGUACGAGGAG